CUUCAGAAUACCUUUUGAAAAUCAACAACAGGGGAGUCAUGAUUCACGAUAAACUCUUGAUUUUCCAUCAAUGGAAAACCCAUUUUCCAUUUCUGUGGAACUUCAACUUCCAGUGAAUACAUUGUCGUUCAUGUUGGCUGUCUUGCCAAAAUCAACCCUUUUGCUCCUCUUGACAAAGUGUGUGUCCUCAGUUGUGGGAUCUCUAGUUGUGGGAUCUUUAUAGGUCUUGGUGCUACUCUUAACGUUGCAAAACCUAAAAAAGGCUCAUCUGUUGCCAUUUUUGGAUUCGGAGUUGUAGUGCUUGCUGUGACUUUUCUAGAACUUCUAACUUUCUCAAAAAAGACUCAUUCAUGGCAAAAAAAAAAAAAAAAGCUACUGCUUUGUUUGUGAUCAGAAGGUGCGAGAAUUGCAGGUGCUUCAAGGAUGGUUGGUGUUGAUCUCAAUGCCAACAGACUUGAGCUUACAUGGUGGUAGACACAAAGAAGAAGGAGGUGGUGGAUAGGAAGUCAAUGGAUCUUAUAUGGUGGAGGCAGACUCACCGGCAUAGGCUUUGGCGGAGAUGGUGUCGCAGGAGAUGGGUAUGGCUGAAAUCCAAGAAGAAGGCUUCGGCGGAGCGGAGCCGGUCUCAUUUAUGGUAUCUUUCUCUAACUUUCACCCCCAAACUCAAUAUCACUGAAACAUUUAUGGAGGAACAGCAAGGGAGGGAAAAAAUCGUGAAGGAUAGUAGGUGAAAGAAUGAGGUGGGGUUAAUAGAGUACGUGAAGCGGUCGGCAGUAGUGGUCUUGGAAACGAUCGACUUUGAAGAGGUUUUUGAUUGGAAGCAGAAGCGGAUUCAUGUUUAAGUUUUUUAAAUAAUUUAUCUUUCUUGAAAAAAAUGCAAAAAUUAAAUUAUGUUAUCUUAUUAGAAUUACCAUUUUUUAUUGUCCGCAACGUUAUUUUACUCUUCGUUACUUUUGAAUCUUACUUUUUUUGUUUUC